rnacentral:misc_RNA from 1 species
UCGGAUCGUUUUAGAAACAUCAGUGGCCAACAGAUCGCCAGAUCGUUGAGCUGCAUUGGCGGGAUUUCGCCGUCUUCGUUUCUCUUUCUUCGCGGACGAACACGCGCUGGGCCUGCAACGGCAGGAUCCAGGGUCCUUAACGGGAUGUGCGUUAGGGGCUUGUAGCUCAGUUGGUUAGAGCGCGCGCUUGAUAAGCGUGAGGUCGGAAGUUCAAGUCUUCCCAGGCCCACCACUUUCAUCGAGUGAGCAUUCGUCUUCUGGUUACGGGGCCAUAGCUCAGCUGGGAGAGCGCGUGCUUUGCAAGCAUGAGGUCGUCGGUUCGAUCCCGUCUGGCUCCACCAGAUGGUUUGAUCACCGAGAUCUUGACCGUCGUCCGCGAAACAUCACUUCGCAUCCUGCUAGUCUGGAUAGACAGCAGUUUGCGUGUUUUCUGACAUCGUAAAGAGGAGAUCGAUCCGAGUUGGGUCGUGCAGCAUAUCGUUGCGCGAGCCUUCAUUAUCUCCGGAUCAUUUCGGCGCUCGCUUCCAGCCGUGAGGUUGGAUGCGGGUUGUAAAUGAUCCUUUUAGCGAAGCUUGACCGCCUCGCUAUCGGAACGAUCUUACGAAGCAAGCUGGUCUUUCUAGUCAAUGUCCGGCUGCGGAUAGCGUUCAUCGAGGGCGCGUGCCGCAAGGCAAUUCUGCAGACAACAUUCUGCCGAGUGUGUGGACAUUGAUAAUGAGAGCAAUCAAGUGCCUUAAGGGUGUUCGGUGGAUGCCUUGGCGCUGAGAGGCGAUGAAGGACGUGCUACGCUGCGAUAAGCCGUGGGGAGCUGCGAAGAAGCUUUGAUCCGCGGAUUUCCGAAUGGGGAAACCCCGGA